GACGAACCGAGCGAACGUUAUUCGGAAUCACUGGGCUUAAAGGGCGCGUAGGCGGGCGGCCAAGUCAGGGGUGAAAGCCCCCAGCUCAACUGAGGAAGUGCAUUCGAAACUUCCGAGCUCGAGUUCUGGAGAGGAUAGCGGAAUUCUCGGUGUAGAGGUGAAAUUCGUAGAUAUCGAGAGGAACACCGGUGGCGAAGGCGGCUAUCUGGACAGAAACUGACGCUGAGACGCGAAAGCGUGGGGAGCAAACAGG
rnacentral:rRNA from 1 species